CCCUUAGAUGUCCGGGGCUGCACGCGCGCUACACUGAAUGAAUCAGCGUGCUAGAAAACCUUGUUUGACAUGGCUAGGUAACCCACUGAAAAUCAUUCGUGAUUGGGAUCGGGACUUGCAAUUUUUCGACUCGAACCAGGAAUUCCUUGUAAUCGUGAUUCAUCACAUCACGAUGAAUACGUCCCUGCCCUUUGUACACACCGCCCGUCGCUCCUACCGAUCGAAGAGUUAGGUGAAUUGUUUUGAUCGAUAAGAUUUGACUAUGGUCAACUCUCGUUGUGAAAUUCUGUGAAUCUGACUGUUUAGAGGAAGGAAAAGUCGUAACA
rnacentral:rRNA from 1 species